GCCUGUAGCCAAAGCACCCGGAAUUCACCCGAUCUCAUCAGACGUUGGAAGCUAAGCGGGGUCGAGCCUGGAUAGCGCUUGGAUGGGCGACGACCGUGCAUCGAAUCAGAUGUUAUAGGCC
rnacentral:rRNA from 1 species